CGCUCGACCUGAGCGGCCGUGGUGUCGGCCGCUCCCUAAAUCCCGCUUUGCCAUGGCUGGACAUUCUAACCAAACCGUAGCUCCGGCGGCUACGUUUUUGCAUCGCCUCCCACAAAUUGGUGACCCAGACGACGAAACCCGGCCCCGUCAACGUCCGCGCACCGACUCUACGCAGGUGAGUAAUGUGUCCUCACCUAGUCCGGCAGACGCCCCGUAGUUGUGGAGUUUACGGGAAUUCUACAUCGACAUGCCGGACAUGUGGUGCAUCCAGCUGGACAGCCACUUCCUUCUCAACAUGGUUCCAGCCUCCGGCUGCGUUGCAGGCCCUAGGUGCCACCCCGUGGCUCCGACUUCUACGAUGACUUGCGGACAGCCGUCUUUGCUGACUGUCACCUCGACUGCUCUGUUACAACCGUUCUCGGUAUUUGAACCGUCGCGUAAUUCCGCGUCUCGUCGUCGCACCUCGCCUGUGUACAGGCGUGCCGAUCGUCAGCACUCACCGGCCUCAGAAUCAAACCUCUACUCGGUUCGUGAGUCGCCUCCCCAGCUGCGUGACGAUUCUUUCCAAGGAAUUCACUGGACGAAACUUAGUUGCCCUUCGUUCCUCAAAGAGGCCGCACCUGAGUCGAGUGAGCUCCUGAACAACACUUUGCAAUGUGGUGAACGCGGUUUAACCAGUCAAUCCGGGACCUCAUAAAAGUGUGACGAAAUGGCGACGCACUUCUCUCCCAUUUACCGGGCACAGCCUACAGCAACUUCGCCGAGCCACAGCCCUUUCUUAACUUUAGUAUCAUCUGACUUAUGAAACUAGCGAAGCAAACAAGGGACUUCCUCGGCACUUCACAACAAGGAUUCAACCAGCUUGACAUCGAUGGUAGGAAGACGCCAGUCGAAGUUUGUUUUGCAAAGAAAAAAAAGAAGAGCGAGGGGAAGAAUAAUUAGCUCUGCCCCAAGCGUUGGUUGCUCAACGAGGGCG